CUAGCCCAGGCACCAAAUUUAAAGUCGAGGGACAACCACCGGCCCAGCCUUGCUUACUACUGUUUCACCAACACCAAAGUGAGUGCCAGUUGGCCCUUUUCUUUUAUUUUUUAAGACAGAGUUUCGCUCUGUCGCCCAGGCUGGAGUGCAGUGACUCGAUCUCGGUUCACUGCAACCUCUGCCUCCCAGGUUCAAGCAAUUCUCCUGCCUCAGCCUCCCAAGUAGCUAGGAUUACAGGCUUUCGCCACCACGCCCAGCUAAUUUUUGUAUUUUUAGUAGAGACGGGGCUUCACCAAGUUGGCCAAGCUGGUCUGGAACUCCUGACCUCAGGUGAUCUGCCUGCCUCGGCCUUCCAAAGUGCUGGGAUUACAGGCGUGAGUCACCGUUCCUGGCCUGCAACUGGCCCUUUUCGAUCAGUGUUCUGCCCUUUCUGAAGCUCGCUGUCUUUCCAUGGCUGCACCUAUUUUUUUUUUUUUUUGGACAGUCUCACUCUGUCUCCCGGGCUGGAGUGCAAUCUC
rnacentral:lncRNA from 1 species